ACAUGCUGUGAGCUCGAUGAGUAGGGCGGGACACGUGGUAUCCUGUCUGAAUAUGGGGGGACCAUCCUCCAAGGCUAAAUACUCCUGACUGACCGAUAGUGAACCAGUACCGUGAGGGAAAGGCGAAAAGAACCCCGGCGAGGGGAGUGAAAAAGAACCUGAAACCGUGUACGUACAAGCAGUGGGAGCACGCUUAGGCGUGUGACUGCGUACCUUUUGUAUAAUGGGUCAGCGACUUAUAUUCUGUAGCAAGGUUAACCGAAUAGGGGAGCCGAAGGGAAACCGAGUCUUAACUGGGCGUUAAGUUGCAGGGUAUAGACCCGAAACCCGGUGAUCUAGCCAUGGGCAGGUUGAAGGUUGGGUAACACUAACUGGAGGACCGAACCGACUAAUGUUGAAAAAUUAGCGGAUGACUUGUGGCUGGGGGUGAAAGGCCAAUCAAACCGGGAGAUAGCUGGUUCUCCCCGAAAGCUAUUUAGGUAGCGCCUCGUGAAUUCAUCUCCGGGGGUAGAGCACUGUUUCGGCAAGGGGGUCAUCCCGACUUACCAACCCGAUGCAAACUGCGAAUACCGGAGAAUGUUAUCACGGGAGACACACGGCGGGUGCUAACGUCCGUCGUGAAGAGGGAAACAACCCAGACCGCCAGCUAAGGUCCCAAAGUCAUGGUUAAGUGGGAAACGAUGUGGGAAGGCCCAGACAGCCAGGAUGUUGGCUUAGAAGCAGCCAUCAUUUAAAGAAAGCGUAAUAGCUCACUGGUCGAGUCGGCCUGCGCGGAAGAUGUAACGGGGCUAAACCAUGCACCGAAGCUGCGGCAGCGACGCUGAUGCGUUGUUGGGUAGGGGAGCGUUCUGUAAGCCUGUGAAGGUGUGCUGUGAGGCAUGCUGGAGGUAUCAGAAGUGCGAAUGCUGACAUAAGUAACGAUAAAGCGGGUGAAAAGCCCGCUCGCCGGAAGACCAAGGGUUCCUGUCCAACGUUAAUCGGGGCAGGGUGAGUCGACCCCUAAGGCGAGGCCGAAAGGCGUAGUCGAUGGGAAACAGGUUAAUAUUCCUGUACUUGGUGUUACUGCGAAGGGGGGACGGAGAAGGCUAUGUUGGCCGGGCGACGGUUGUCCCGGUUUAAGCGUGUAGGCUGGUUUUCCAGGCAAAUCCGGAAAAUCAAGGCUGAGGCGUGAUGACGAGGCACUACGGUGCUGAAGCAACAAAUGCCCUGCUUCCAGGAAAAGCCUCUAAGCAUCAGGUAACAUCAAAUCGUACCCCAAACCGACACAGGUGGUCAGGUAGAGAAUACCAAGGCGCUUGAGAGAACUCGGGUGAAGGAACUAGGCAAAAUGGUGCCGUAACUUCGGGAGAAGG
rnacentral:rRNA from 1 species